CUCAUCUGGGGGAGAAACAAACAACCUCAGCACAAGAAAUCUGCUGGGAAGACUCGGGGAAGAAAGGCAAAGAGACAGACGGCUCAGAAACCAGCCCCGGUUUCGUGGCUGGAAGUGCACAGAGAAGCUGACAGUGUGACCCGUGUGCCCGGCUCCCUCACUGAUCCUGGCCUGCAAAACAAAGCAAAAUGAUCGGAUCUGGGGUGAUAUCGAAUCCAGCAGGUCUCUCUCAGGAGAUGGAGGCUAAGAUACAGGGCGCUUUUCUUCCCACCGCUGGGCCCAGGAAUAACGGGGAAAUUAUUUUAUAUUUGAAUACAAGACUGGCAAGAGAGGCCCCUUAGCCAGCCACCGCUGAGGACCAGUGACUUCGACGUCCGGUGAACACAAGAGGUCUGGACUUGAGCUCACCUUCAAGCUGAGUGUACAAGGCCUCUUUGAAACCUAAGUGAAUUCUGUGAUGGGCUUGAGUCCCGUCCUCAAGCUGUAUCAUCACGGUCAUGCCAAUACUGCAGCGUCUGAGGUUCAAAAUAUGACUCUCCAGGAUUUCAGACAAGGGAUGUCCUAUUGGUACUCAGAACACUGGCUUGUGAUACCCAAUGUCUGCCAUGCAAACACCUGCUGCUCUUUAUUGAGGUUAAACACCGAUGAAAGCCCUAUUUCCCCACCCGCACCUGGUCCUGGAGAAGUGUCACAUGGCUGAGAUCUACACAUUGACUGACAGGAACCCACACGUAGGCCAGAAGAGGGCACCAGAUCUCACAGAUGGUUGUGAGCCACCAUGUGG